rnacentral:piRNA from 1 species
CCAACCGGUAAGAAGGACACAUGCU